rnacentral:rRNA from 1 species
CACGUAGGGGGCAAGCGUUGUCCGGAUUUAUUGGGCGUAAAGAGCUCGUAGGCGGCUUAGUAAGUCGGGUGUGAAACCUCCAGGCUCAACCUGGAGACGCCACCCGAUACUGCUGUGGCUAGAGUCCGGUAGGGGAGCGUGGAAUUCCUGGUGUAGCGGUGAAAUGCGCAGAUAUCAGGAGGAACACCAGCGGCGAAGGCGGCGCUCUGGGCCGGUACUGACGCUGAGGAGCGAAGGCCAGGGGAGCAAACGGG